rfam:Ovis aries breed Texel chromosome 2, whole genome shotgun sequence.
UCCCUGGUGGUUCAGAGGUUAAGACUCUGCUGUUCCAAUGCAGGUGGCACAGGUUCUAACCCUGGUCAGGGAA